AUGAUACUCCCUCUGUCCCAAAUUUUUUGUCUUAGAUUUUUCUAGAUACGGAUAUAUCUAAUACUAAAAUAUGACUUGAUACAUUCAUAUAUCUAGACAAAUCUAAGACAAAAAAUUUUGACGGAGGGAGUACUAC
rfam:Triticum aestivum genome assembly, contig: Triticum_aestivum_CS42_TGACv1_scaffold_000841_1AL